ACAAACACACACACACAAUAAAAAAGAAAAACAAAAGGAAAAAGAAGAAAAAAGAUUGUGCACGAGACAAUGAAUGAAUAAGAAACAAGUGUUUGUUGUUGGAAACAAACAAACACUCGUGUGCAACCCUUUUUUUCUUGUCCUUUC
rnacentral:ribozyme from 12 species